UUAAAAAGUGCGUAACAGCUUACUAGCUAAGGGAUUCUGCGCCGAAAAUUUAUCGGGGCUAAGUUGAAUACCGAAGAUAAGGAUGCCGCCGCAAGGCGGGGUGGAGCGAUGAGGAGUGAGAGUGCUGGGAUGAGUAACCACAACCAGGGUGAGAGCCCCUGGCACCGAAAACCUGAGGUUUCCUUGGCAAUGAUAAUCAUCCAAGGGUUAGGCGGGCCUUAGGGAGAUAUCAAAUGGUAUCUUCUGAUGGACAGCCGGUUCAUAUUCCGGCCCCCCGCACUUUUCCGAAGAGCGACGCGACUUGGGACUCCGAGCGGAUUAUUGGAUUUCCGUUUCCGCAAGGACGAAGUCAGGACUACGGUUCUGGCGACUCGGACGAACAAGGAGCCCAGAAAAACUCUGAGGUUAUGAAGUGUUGGGUCCGUACCGCAAACCGACACAGGUGGGUUAGUAUAAAUGUACUAAGGUGAACGGGUGAAAGCUCCUGAAGGAACUAGGCAAAAAAGUGUCCGAAAGUAUCCCUGGCGACUGUUUACCAAAAACACAGGUCUCUGCUCAACUCCAAAAGAGGAUGUAUAGGGGCUGACGCCUGACCAGUGCUGGAGUGUUAAAGGUGGCGGUUUUACCGCAAGGUAAGGCUGACUGCCCGAAGCCCCAGUGAACGUCCGCGGUAACUAUAACCGUGUUAAAGUAGCGUAAUCUCUUGCCUGGUAAGUUCAGGCCCGCACGAAAGGCGUCACGACUUGGGAACUGUCUCCAGGAGCUGCCCGGUGAAAAUGCAAUACCGGUGAAGAUGCCGGUUACCUGCGGCUAGACGGAAAGACCCCGGGAGCUUUACUGUAGCUUCUUAUUGUUUUAUCGUUUUGCAUGCGUAGCAUAGUGGGGAGGCUUUGAAGUCCGCCUUUCGGGGCGGGUGGAGCCAACAGUGAAAUACCCAUCUUGCGAAAUGAUAAAUCUAAUCCGCCUUGGGCGGAGACAGUGGGAGGCGGUCAGUUUUAGUGGGGCGCUAGCCUCCUAAAGAGUAGCGGAGGCGUUUAAAGGUCAGCUAGCUCCGGAUGGAAAUCGGAGCGGUCGUGUAAAGGCACAAGCUGGCUUAACUGCGAGACGGAUAUGUCGAGCAGAUGGGAAACCAGAACGGCUCAUCUUAUCCUGGGGCUGAAGAAGGUCCCAAGGGUCUGGCUGUUCGCCAGUUAAAAAGGUACGUGAGCUGGGUUCAAACCGUCGUGAGACAGGUUGGUCCCUUUCUACCGCAGGCGUCGAGUCUUGAGGAGAUUUAUCUCUAGUACGAGAGGACCGAGAUGAACGAACCUCUGGUGUACCAGUUGUCGUGCCAACGGCAUCGCUGGGUAGCUAUGUUCGGCUAGGAUAAGCGCUGAAAGCAUCUAAGCGCGAAGCCAACUCCAAGAUGAGGACUCAAAGAUCCCUCCGAGAUGAGGAGGUUGAUAGGCUCCAGAUGUAAGUCCCGCAAGGGAUUCAGUCGAGGAGUACUAAUG
rnacentral:rRNA from 1 species